rnacentral:lncRNA from 1 species
AUGAAGAAACAAUCAAACAUAUUUGAAACACACUGGAUCCAGUUACUUUUGCUUUUUGCCCAGGUGAAAAUUUUAAAAGAUGAUGUCAACAUGAUUAAGAUUUUCCUUGUGGUGAAACCAGCAAAGAUGAACAGAACUUGGCUUAAAGGAAAUGUGAUCACUCAUGGCCGGUUUGCAGGCAAGGAACUCCUUCUAACAAGGACAACAUGGAGUACAUCAUUUUAUUGUUAGCUUAGAAUUUUGGAGACAGACAAGCAAAACAUCCAGAAAAAAAUUGAAAGGAUAAGGAGACUGAAAAUUGAAGAGACAAGUAUAUUGGGCUGAAUGGUGGCUCCUAAACAAUGAGAUCCUAAUCCCAGGAAGGUGUCAAUGUUACCGUACAUGGUAAAGUCUUUGCAGGUGUGAUUAAGUCAAGGUUCUUAACUCAAGAUGCAGAGAGUAUCCUGGUUAUCCAGGUGGGCCCUAAACACAGUCACAUGUAUCCUUAUAGGAGAAAGGCAGAGCAAGAUUUGACCACAUGCAAGAGGGACCAGAGGGAGAUUUGAAGAUGCUGACCUUGACAUGAUCAGCCACAAGCCAAGGAGUGCUGGCAGCCACCAGAAGCUGGAAGAGUAAAGGAAUAGAUUCUCCCUGAGAGCCUUCAGAGGGAGCCUGGCCCUGCUGAGAUCUUGAUGUUGGGCUUGUGGCCUCCAGAACUGUGAGAAAAUAAAUGUCUGUUGUUUGAAGUCA